rnacentral:rRNA from 1 species
AUUGAACGCUGGCGGCAUGCCUUACACAUGCAAGUCGAACGGCAGCACGGGUGCUUGCCCCUGGUGGCGAGUGGCGAACGGGUGAGUAAUACAUCGGAACAUGUCCUGUAGUGGGGGAUAGCCUGGCGAAAGCCGGAUUAAUACCGCAUACGAUCUACGGAUUACAGCGGGGGACCUGCGGGCCUCGCGCUAUAGGGUUGGCUGAUGGCUGAUUAGCUAGUUGGUGGGGUAAAGGCCUACCAAGGCGACGACCAGUAGCUGGUCUGAGAGGACGACCAGCCACACUGGGACUGAGACACGGCCCAGACUCCUACGGGAGGCAGCAGUGGGGAAUUUUGGACAAUGGGCGAAAGCCUGAUCCAGCAAUGCCGCGUGUGUGAAGAAGGCCUUCGGGUUGUAAAGCACUUUUGUCCGGAAAGAAAUCCUUGGCUCUAAUACAGUCGGGGGAUGACGUUACCGGAAGAAUAAGCACCGGCUAACUACGUG